rnacentral:lncRNA from 1 species
GGGGGAGGGUACACCCAGAGCUUAGCACAGUGCCUGGCACAUAAUGGUGUUUGUUCAUUCAUUUCAGUCAUGUCUGACUUUUCAUGAUUCCAGUUGGGGCUUUCUUGGCAAAAAUCCUAUUGCCAUUUCCUUCUCCAGCUCAUUUUACAAGUGAGGAAACUGAGACCAAGAGGGUUAUAUGACUUGCCCAGGGCCACAUAACUAGCUCAUAGAUUUCCCCAAUGAUUAUUCUGGAUAUGCUGCAUUUCUCCUUCUCUCAGAAAGCUGAGGCCCAGAGAGAAGAGCUGAACUGUCCAGGUCACACAAGUGGUCAGCAGAAAAUGUGCCCUUUAAACCGUGGGGCUCUGACUUCAGAUGCCAACCUCUUCCUGUUCUACCAGGACAGAACCUCUUGGCAAGGUGUCUCUUGGAAGCUGAGAGACCCAGAUCUAGCAUCGGGAGCUCCGACAGAUACUGGACCAAUGGGGGAUGACAGCAGCCUGAAAGGGAAAGCCCAAGGCAUCCCCAUAGAUAUUAGCCAACUUGGGCCUCUUGGGGAAAUAACUCUCAGCCACUCAAUUCAGCCAAUAUUUAAUAAUAAUAGGAAUGCC